AAGCUUCGGCCAUCCGGCGAGGGAUGGGCCCGCGGUCCAUUAGCUAGUUGGUGGGGUAACGGCCCACCAAGGCGACGAUGGAUAGCUGGUCUGAGAGGAUGAUCAGCCACACUGGGACUGAGACACGGCCCAGACUCCUACGGGAGGCAGCAGUCGGGAAUCUUGCGCAAUGGGCGAAAGCCUGACGCAGCAACACCGUGUGGGCGACGAAGGCCUUCGGGUCGUAAAGCCCUGUUGUUGGGGACGAAGGGCGAAGGGUUAAUAGCCC
rnacentral:rRNA from 1 species